AUGGCUAAGGAAGAAGAGCUCAAGAGAGUUGAUUUGAAGGUGAACGUGAGCUGCUGCGACGGCUGCAGGAGGAAGGUGAUGAAGGCCAUGAACCUCAAGGGUGUGCUCAGGACGGAGAUCCACCCGUCGCUCGACCGGGUCACCGUCGUCGGCAACGUCGACACCAAGGUGCUCGUCAAGAAGCUCGCCAAGGUCGGCAAGAUCGCCGAGGUGGUCGAGGCGGCGGUGCCCGAGCAGCCGAAGAAGCGCGAGGGUGAUGGCGGGAAGGACCGCGACGGCGGUGAUUGGCCUGCGAUGGCGCCGGCGAUGGCGGGCGAGAAGAGCAAGCGCAAGGACGAUGCCAAGGACAACAGCGGCGACAAGCCCGCGGCGGCGUCGUCCAAGAAAGAAUGCAGCAAGUGCGCGCACCAGCAUCAGCAGUCCGCGCGCGGCGGCGGUGACGCCGAUGAUCACGGCAAGAAGGCCCAGGGCGCCGCCGGUGACGCCGAUGAUCACGGCAAGAAGGCCAAGGGCGCCGAAGGGAGCGCCUUCAAACAAGAAGAUGACGGUUUCGCCGCCGAGGCCAAGCCCUCCCAUCCCGACCACGCGCCGGCGGCGGCGCACCACAACUACAACCGCGCCGAGCCGCCCAGCAUGGCCGUGCCCAUGCAGUACAUGCCGACGAUGCCGUACUACGCGGCAGCGAACGUGACGGCGCCGUCCUACUACAACGGCGGCGGGUACUACGCGAUGCCGCCUCCGCCCCCGGCGCCGAUGCCGUGGCAGCUUCCCCAUCAGCAGCAGCUGGUCCGGCCUCAGCCGUCGCGCUUCGACGCGGACUACUUCAACGAAGACAACGCCGUCGGCUGCCACGUGAUGUGA
rnacentral:rRNA from 1 species